rnacentral:rRNA from 1 species
GACGAACGCUGGCGGCGUGCUUAACACAUGCAAGUCGAACGGAAAGGCCCCUUUGGGGGUACUCGAGUGGCGAACGGGUGAGUAACACGUGAGCAACCUGCCCUUGACUUCGGGAUAACUUCAGGAAACUGGGGCUAAUACCGGAUAGGAAUCCUUGCUGCAUGGUGGGGGUUGGAAAGCUUCGGCGGUUUUGGAUGGACUCGCGGCUUAUCAGCUUGUUGGUGGGGUAGUGGCUUACCAAGGCUUUGACGGGUAGCCGGCCUGAGAGGGCGACCGGCCACAUUGGGACUGAGAUACGGCCCAGACGCCUACGGGAGGCAGCAGUGGGGAAUAUUGCACAAUGGGCGGAAGCCUGAUGCAGCAACGCCGCGUGCGGGAUGACGGCCUUCGGGUUGUAAACCGCUUUCAGCAGGGGCGAAGCUUGUGGUGACGGUACCUGCAGAAGAAGCACCGGCUAACUACGUG